AGGGAUCAUUACUGAGUUACCGCUCUAUAUACCCUUUGUGAACAUACCUAACCGUUGCUUCGGCGGGCAGGGGAAGCCUCUCGCGGGCCUCCCCUCCCGGCGCCGGCCCCCACCACGGGGACGGGGCGCCCGCCGGAGGGAAACCAAACUCUAUUUACACGACGUCUCUUCUGAGUGGCACAAGCAAAUAAUUAAAACUUUUAACAACGGAUCUCUUGGUUCUGGCAUCGAUGAAGAACGCAGCGAAAUGCGAUAAGUAAUGUGAAUUGCAGAAUUCAGUGAAUCAUCGAAUCUUUGAACGCACAUUGCGCUCGCCAGCAUUCUGGCGAGCAUGCCUGUUCGAGCGUCAUUUCAACCCUCAAGCACCGCUUGGUUUUGGGGCCCCACGGCACACGUGGGCCCUUAAAGGUAGUGGCGGACCCUCCCGGAGCCUCCUUUGCGUAGUAACUAACGUCUCGCACUGGGAUCCGGAGGGACUCUUGCCGUAAAACCCCCAAAUUUUUUACAGGUUGACCUCGG
rnacentral:rRNA from 1 species